UACGUAGGGUGUAGGCGUUAAUCGGAAUUACUGGGCGUAAAGCGUGCGCAGGCGGUUUGUUAAGACAGAUGUGAAAUCCCCGGGCUUAACCUGGGAACUGCGUUUGUAACUGGCAAGCUAGAGUGUGGCAGAGGGGGGUGGAAUUCCACGUGUAGCAGUGAAAUGCGUAGAGAUGUGGAGGAACACCGGUGGCGAAGGCGGCAUCCUGGACCGGCAUUGACACUGAGGCGCGAAAGCCAGGGGAGCAAACGGG
rnacentral:rRNA from 1 species